rnacentral:rRNA from 1 species
UAGGUAAUCUUCCGCAAUGGGCGAAAGCCUGACGGAGCAACGCCGCGUGAGUGAUGAAGGUCUUCGGAUCGUAAAACUCUGUUAUUAGGGAAGAACAAAUGUGUAAGUAACUAUGCACGUCUUGACGGUACCUAAUCAGAAAGCCACGGCUAACUACGUGCCAGCAGCCGUGGUAAUACGUAGGUGGCAAGCGUUAUCCGGAAUUAGUGGUCGUAAAUCGCGCGUAGGCGGUUUUUUAAGUCUGAUGUGGAAGCCCACGGCUCAACCGUGGAGGGUCAUUGGAAACUGGGUAACUUGAGUGCAGAAGAGGAAAGUGGUAUUCCAUGUGUGGCGGUGAAAUGCGCAGAGAUAUGGAGGAACACCAGUGGCGAAGGCGACUUUCUGGUCUGUAACUGACGCUGAUGUGCGAAAGCGUGGGGAUCAAACAGG